rnacentral:rRNA from 1 species
UUAAGGCCGAGAGCUGAUGACGAGUUGUCUUUUAGAUGACGAAGUGGUUGAUGCCAUGCUUCCAAGAAAAGCUUCUAAGCUUCAGGUAACCAGGAACCGUACCCCAAACCGACACAGGUGGUUGGGUAGAGAAUACCAAGGCGCUUGAGAGAACUCGGGUGAAGGAACUAGGCAAAAUGGCACCGUAACUUCGGGAGAAGGUGCGCCGGUGAGGGUGAAGGACUUGCUCCGUAAGCCCAUGCCGGUCGAAGAUACCAGGCCGCUGCGACUGUUUAUUAAAAACACAGCACUCUGCAAACACGAAAGUGGACGUAUAGGGUGUGACGCCUCUCCGGUGCCGGAAGGUUAAUUGAUGGGGUUAGCUAACGCGAAGCUCUUGAUCGAAGCCCCGGUAAACGGCGGCCGUAACUAUAACGGUCCUAAGGUAGCGAAAUUCCUUGUCGGGUAAGUUCCGACCUGCACGAAUGGCGUAACGAUGGCGGCGCUGUCUCCACCCGAGACUCAGUGAAAUUGAAAUCGCUGUGAAGAUGCAGUGUAUCCGCGGCUAGACGGAAAGACCCCGUGAACCUUUACUAUAGCUUUGCACUGGACUUUGAAUUUGCUUGUGUAGGAUAGGUGGGAGGCUUUGAAGCGUGGACGCCAGUUCGCGUGGAGCCAACCUUGAAAUACCACCCUGGCAACUUUGAGGUUCUAACUCAGGUCCGUUAUCCGGAUCGAGGACAGUGUAUGGUGGGUAGUUUGACUGGGGCGGUCUCCUCCUAAAGAGUAACGGAGGAGUACGAAGGUGCGCUCAGACCGGUCGGAAAUCGGUCGUAGAGUAUAAAGGCAAAAGCGCGCUUGACUGCGAGACAGACACGUCGAGCAGGUACGAAAGUAGGUCUUAGUGAUCCGGUGGUUCUGUAUGGAAGGGCCAUCGCUCAACGGAUAAAAGGUACUCCGGGGAUAACAGGCUGAUACCGCCCAAGAGUUCAUAUCGACGGCGGUGUUUGGCACCUCGAUGUCGGCUCAUCACAUCCUGGGGCUGAAGCCGGUCCCAAGGGUAUGGCUGUUCGCCAUUUAAAGUGGUACGCGAGCUGGGUUUAGAACGUCGUGAGACAGUUCGGUCCCUAUCUGCCGUGGACGUUUGAGAUUUGAGAGGGGCUGCUCCUAGUACGAGAGGACCGGAGUGGACGAACCUCUGGUGUUCCGGUUGUCACGCCAGUGGCAUUGCCGGGUAGCUAUGUUCGGAAUAGAUAACCGCUGAAAGCAUCUAAGCGGGAAACUAGCCUCAAGAUGAGAUCUCACUGGGACCUUGAGUCCCCUGAAGGGCCGUCGAAGACUACGACGUUGAUAGGUUGGGUGUGUAAGCGCUGUGAGGCGUUGAGCUAACCAAUACUAAUUGCCCGUGAGGCUUGACCU